rnacentral:rRNA from 1 species
UACGAAGGGGGCUAGCGUUGUUCGGAAUUACUGGGCGUAAAGCGCACGUAGGCGGGCGAUUAAGUCAGGGGUGAAAUCCCGAGGCUCAACCUCGGAACUGCCUUUGAUACUGGAGAUCUUGAGUUCGGGAGAGGUGAGUGGAACUGCGAGUGUAGAGGUGAAAUUCGUAGAUAUUCGCAAGAACACCAGUGGCGAAGGCGGCUCACUGGCCCGGUACUGACGCUGAGGUGCGAAAGCGUGGGGAGCAAACAGG